rnacentral:rRNA from 1 species
GUAGGGAAUCUUCCGCAAUGGACGAAAGUCUGACGGAGCAACGCCGCGUGAGUGAUGAAGGCUUUUCGGGUCGUAAAACUCUGUUGUUAGGGAAGAACAAGUGCUAGUUGAAUAAGCUGGCACCUUGACGGUACCUAACCAGAAAGCCACGGCUAACUACGUGCCAGCAGCCGCGGUAAUACGUAGGUGGCAAGCGUUAUCCGGAAUUAUUGGGCGUAAAGCGCGCGCAGGUGGUUUCUUAAGUCUGAUGUGAAAGCCCACGGCUCAACCGUGGAGGGUCAUUGGAAACUGGGAGACUUGAGUGCAGAAGAGGAAAGUGGGAUUCCAUGUGUAGCGGUGAAAUGCGUAGAGAUAUGGAGGAACACCAGUGGCGAAGGGACUUUCUGGUCUGUAACUGACACUGAGGCGCGAAAGCGUGGGGAGCAAACAGGAUUAGAUACCCUGGUAGUCCGCGCCGUAAACGAUGAGUGCUAAGUGUUAGAGGGUUUCCGCCCUUUAGUGCUGAAGUUAACGCAUUAAGCACUCCGCCUGGGGAGUACGGGCCGCAAGGCUGAAACUCAAAGGAAUUG